UGGGUUGACCAGGCGGCUGCGCGUCACGCAAGUGGCUCGAGGAACGUCCGGGCUCCGCAGAGCAGGGUGGUGGGUAACACCCACUCGGGGUAACCCGCAGGCCAGUGCCACAGAGAACAGACCGCCGGGAUCCCUUGGGAUCCCGGUAAGGGUGAAACGGUGGUGUAAGAGACCACCAGCUUCCCGGGUGACCGGGAAGGCUAGGUAAACCCCACCCGGAGCAAGGCCAGACAGGGCACGUUUGAGGGCUGCUCGCCCGAGUGCCCGGGUAGGCCGCUGGAGGGCGUCGGCAACGGCGUCCGUAGAUGGAUGGUCGCUACUCCUCUGCCGGCAACAGCAGGGGAACACAGAACCCGGCGUAUAGGUCAACCCAUCCA
rnacentral:RNase_P_RNA from 1 species